AUGAGCGGCGGCGGCGGCGGCGGCGGCGGAGGGGGCUCGGCGCCCAGUCGUUUCGCCGACUACUUUGUCAUCUGCGGGCUGGACACCGAGACCGGGCUGGAGCCGGACGAGCUGUCGGCAUUAUGCCAGUACAUACAGGCUUCUAAAGCCAGGGAUGGUGCCAGCCCUUUCAUUUCCAGUACGACUGAAGGAGAAAAUUUUGAGCAGACACCACUGAGACGAACAUUCAAGUCCAAGGUCCUUGCCCGAUACCCUGAGAAUGUAGAAUGGAAUCCCUUUGACCAAGAUGCAGUGGGAAUGCUAUGCAUGCCCAAAGGGCUGGCAUUCAAGACCCAGGCUGAUCCCAGGGAGCCCCAGUUCCAUGCCUUUAUUAUCACAAGGGAGGAUGGCUCUCGGACAUUUGGGUUUGCCCUCACAUUUUAUGAGGAGGUGACUAGCAAACAGAUCUGCAGUGCAAUGCAGACCCUCUACCACAUGCAUAAUGCUGAGUAUGAUAUCCUACAUUCUCCGUCUGCUGAUGGCCAAGAUGACAGUGGCAUGGACGAUGGUGAAGGCACUCCUGGGACUAAGCUUCAGCGCUUCAACUCCUAUGACAUUAGCCGGGACACGCUCUACGUCUCUAAGUGCAUUUGCCUCAUAACACCCAUGUCCUUCAUGAAAGCAUGCCGGAGUGUGCUGGAACAACUUCACCAGGCAGUCACUUCACCUCAGCCCCCUCCACUGCCCCUUGAGAGCUACAUAUACAAUGUACUCUACGAGGUGCCACUUCCACCUCCUGGCCGGUCCUUGAAAUUUUCUGGAGUUUAUGGGCCAAUAAUCUGCCAGAGACCAAGUACUAAUGAGCUUCCCUUAUUUGACUUUCCUGUCAGAGAGGUCUUUGAACUGCUUGGGGUGGAAAAUGUGUUUCAGCUUUUUACUUGUGCUCUUCUGGAGUUUCAAAUCCUGCUCUACUCACAGCAUUACCAGAGACUGAUGACUGUGGCGGAGACAAUUACAGCCCUCAUGUUUCCUUUCCAGUGGCAGCAUGUCUAUGUCCCUAUUCUCCCGGCUUCUCUCCUACAUUUUUUAGAUGCUCCUGUUCCAUACCUGAUGGGCUUGCAUUCCAAUGGCUUGGAUGACCGGUCAAAGCUGGAGCUGCCUCAAGAGGCUAACCUCUGCUUUGUGGACAUUGACAACCACUUCAUUGAGCUGCCAGAGGACCUGCCUCAGUUUCCCAACAAAUUGGAGUUUGUCCAGGAAGUCUCUGAGAUUCUCAUGGCAUUUGGCAUUCCCCCUGAAGGAAACCUUCAUUGCAGUGAGAGUGCCUCCAAGCUGAAGAGGCUUCGGGCCUCUGAGCUUGUCUCUGACAAGAGGAAUGGGAACAUCGCAGGCUCCCCUUUGCAUUCCUACGAGCUCCUCAAGGAGAAUGAAACUAUUGCCCGGCUGCAAGCCUUGGUUAAGAGGACUGGUGUGAGUCUGGAAAAGCUGGAAGUACGUGAAGACCCCAGCAGCAAUAAGGACCUGAAGGUUCAAUGUGAUGAGGAAGAACUGAGGAUUUACCAGCUAAACAUUCAGAUCCGGGAAGUUUUUGCAAAUCGUUUCACUCAGAUGUUUGCAGAUUAUGAGGUGUUUGUUAUUCAGCCCAGCCAGGAUAAGGAGUCCUGGUUUACCAACAGGGAGCAGAUGCAAAACUUUGAUAAAGCAUCUUUUCUGUCAGACCAGCCUGAGCCAUAUCUGCCCUUCCUCUCAAGAUUCCUAGAGACCCAGAUGUUUGCUUCUUUCAUUGACAACAAAAUCAUGUGUCAUGAUGAUGAUGAUAAAGACCCUGUACUCCGUGUAUUUGAUUCUCGAGUAGACAAAAUCAGGCUGUUGAAUGUUCGGACACCUACUCUUCGUACAUCCAUGUACCAGAAGUGUACCACUGUGGAUGAAGCAGGGCAAGAAGAGGGGAAGGUUGAUGCCAGCGGUAUUUUCCCUCUUGUAUCAGAAAACAAAAGCUUUCCCAGAAAUUCCCAACAACUUCUGUUGUCUCAUAGGCUACAACCAUGUUCUAUGACCAUCCUUAAGUGCAAGGGAGGCUGUGAAAAGAAAGCAAUUGAACUGCGUCUGGCAAAAAUUGACCAUACUGCGAUUCACCCCCAUUUACUUGACAUGAAGAUUGGACAAGGGAAAUAUGAGCCAGGCUUUUUCCCUAAGUUGCAGUCUGAUGUGCUUUCCACUGGGCCAGCCAGCAACAAGUGGACAAAAAGGAAUGCCCCUGCUCAGUGGAGGCGGAAAGAUAGGCAGAAGCAGCACACAGAACACCUGCGUUUAGAUAAUGACCAGAGAGAGAAGUACAUCCAGGAAGCCAGAAAUAUGGGCAGCACCAUCCGCCAGCCCAAAUUGUCCAACCUCUCCCCGUCAGUGAUUGCUCAAACCAACUGGAAGUUUGUAGAGGGCCUGCUGAAGGAGUGCCGCAACAAGACCAAGAGGAUGCUGGUGGAGAAAAUGGGCCGAGAGGCUGUGGAGCUAGGGCACGGGGAGGUGAACAUCACAGGGGUGGAGGAGAACACCUUGAUUGCCAGCCUUUGUGACCUCCUAGAGAGGAUCUGGAGUCAUGGGCUACAAGUAAAGCAGGGGAAAUCAGCCUUGUGGUCCCACCUGUUACAUUAUCAGGAAAACCGGCAGAGAAAACUCACAUCAGGAAGCCUCAGUACCUCAGGAAUACUUCUUGAUUCAGAACGGAGGAAGUCUGAUGGCAGCUCAGUCAUGUCUCCCCUGCGAGUCUCCCUCAUUCAGGAUAUGAGGCACAUCCAGAACAUCGGGGAAAUCAAGACUGAUGUGGGAAAGGCUAGAGCGUGGGUGCGAUUGUCAAUGGAAAAAAAGUUACUUUCCAGACACCUGAAGCAGCUUCUCUCAGACCAUGAGCUCACCAAAAAGUUGUACAAGCGCUAUGCCUUCCUGCGCUGUGACGACGAGAAGGAGCAGUUCCUCUAUCACCUCCUCUCUUUCAAUGCCGUUGAUUACUUUUGCUUCACCAAUGUCUUCACAACUAUCCUGAUCCCGUACCAUAUCCUGAUUGUACCGAGCAAGAAGCUGGGGGGCUCCAUGUUCACCGCCAACCCAUGGAUCUGCAUCUCUGGAGAACUGGGUGAAACACAGAUCCUGCAGAUUCCCAGGAACGUGUUAGAGAUGACUUUUGAGUGCCAGAACUUGGGGAAGCUCACUACGGUACAGAUAGGCCAUGACAACUCUGGACUGUAUGCCAAAUGGUUGGUGGAAUAUGUGAUGGUCAGGAAUGAGAUCACAGGACAUACCUACAAGUUCCCAUGUGGCCGGUGGUUGGGAAAGGGCAUAGACGACGGGAGCCUGGAGCGGGUCCUGGUUGGGGAGCUGCUCACGUCCCAGCCUGAGGUGGAUGAGAGACCGUGCCGGACCCCGCCUCUGCAGCAGUCCCCUAGUGUCAUCCGGAGGCUCGUUACCAUCUCACCCAACAACAAGCCCAAGCUGAACACUGGGCAGAUCCAGGAGUCCAUCGGGGAGGCAGUCAAUGGAAUUGUGAAGCACUUCCAUAAGCCUGAGAAAGAGCGAGGCAGUCUGACGCUGUUGCUCUGUGGAGAAUGUGGCCUUGUCUCGGCCCUGGAACAGGCUUUCCAACAUGGAUUUAAAUCCCCCCGGCUCUUCAAAAAUGUCUUCAUUUGGGAUUUCUUGGAAAAAGCACAAACCUAUUAUGAGACUUUGGAGCAGAACGAACUUGUCCCUGAGGAAAACUGGCAUACAAGGGCCCGGAACUUCUGCCGAUUUGUCACUGCAAUCAAUAAUACUCCCCGGAACAUUGGCAAGGACGGCAAGUUUCAGAUGCUGGUGUGCUUGGGAGCCAGGUACUGCAGCCUCAUGGCCCAGAGUGUACGGCGCCACCUUGGAGGUGGUGCUAGGAGCCUAGUAUGGUGCAGGGGGUGGGAGCGGCUAAUGACCAGAUGCCGCCCAGCAGGUGAGACCUUGGAAACCCUUAAUUUCCUUCAUGUACCAAGCCUAUGUGUGGGGAUGUGUAGGGGUGGCAAUGAGGGUGUGUGUAACUGGGUGGAGGCCCAUUUUGAUGGGAAGGAAUAAAACCAUCCCACUGGUGAAAUUUGAAGUAGAGUAUAUCUAGUCAUUCCUUCCAACAACCAUUCAAAUGUUUCAGGCCUGAUGGAAGACAGUGGGAAUAAGCUGAAUAAAACAUGGUCCCUACCAUUUAGAAGCUUACUUGUCCUAAUUAAGUACAGUAUAAGGCAGAAGGUUGUGAGAGUCCCAAAAGGAGCAUUCAUAAGGUAUGCUGAAACUAUAGAGGAGAAAGAUCAGAGAGGGGAGGAGGUGGUAUUUGAGUUGAGCUGUAAUGGAAGGGUAGAAGUGGGGAGAGAGUUUGAAGCAGACAGAGCUAGCAGAGAGGCCCUAAAGGAAGCAAAGAGUGUGGGGUUAGGAAAUAACAGGUAAACUUGGGAAGGGCGGUUGUAGGAAACAGUUGAAAGGAUGGGGGCCUUGGGGAGCUGGGACAGGGAAUCCUUCCAUAUUAGAACAGAGUUGUUUAAACAGGUGACUGAAAUGAUAUGAAUUUGAUACCAUGGGUGGUAUGCAUCAGAGUGGAUAAGAUUGUUAGGGACUAUUCCAGUGGGUGACAUGAGGGUGUGAAAGCCAAAUAAAUUUAAGGCAGUAGUUUAUUUGGGCCAGGGAAGAGAGGGAGUUGGCGUUGUACUUAAAAACGGACUCUGGAACCAGAUUCACUAGGUUCAUAUCCUCAGAUCAGCCAUUUCCUAGCCAUAUGAUCUUGGACACACUACUUAACCUUUGUCAAUUUCUUCAUCUAUAAAGUGGGGCUAGUAAUAGCACUGAUAGCAUCUGCCUCAUAUCACAGGGUUGUUAUGAAGGUUAAACUCUUAAAACAGUGUCUGGCACAUGCCAAAUGCUAUGUGGAUGUGAGCUUUUAGGAUUAUUCCUGGUGGUGUUAGCUCUGGGGAGGAGUAGUGCUCUGGGACAGAUGGGCUGUUGAGAUGGAGGAGGUGGUGUUGAUUGGUCCUGGAGUCUGGUUGGUGGUGGGCCGGUCUAGGGAGGCAGGGGGAGACAGGAGAGGAGGUGUGGGCCUUGUGGCAGGUAACUGGGUUGAUUUGGCUCAGAUUGGGUUGCUGUCCCUGGGACUGAGUAAUCCCUAAUAGGAGCCUUUUAAAGCUAUGUAAGGCCUCUUUGCCAAGAGCUAUUAGGGGAGGGAAAGGGGGUUGGGGGAGCUAUCCACUUCUCCAGCUUUAGACUUUGUUCAAGGAGUGAUGGAGCAAGUUUCCUCCUUGGCCUUGUACUAACUGUCUCCCUUCCACUUCCCUUCUGACCCAUCUGGACUGACCCUUCUCUGCCAGAGAUCACCUCCUACACCACUGGAUUGCCCUGCUGGCUGACUGUCCCAUCACCGCACACAUGUAUGAAGAUGUGGCGCUCAUCAAAGACCACACACUUGUCAAUUCCUUGAUCCGUGUGCUGCAGACAUUGCAGGAGUUCAACAUCACGCUGGAGACAUCCCUUGUCAAGGGCAUCGACAUCUGACCUCCCAGCACCAGCUAGCAGUAGGACUGAGAGAGACUCACCCUGCAGCUCUGACCCUUCUACCCAAAGGGAUUUAAGCGAGUUGAGCAGGAGACGGAGAAGAGAUGUACACUCACUGUAAAAAGAAAAGUAGAGGAUUUUUGGAAUAAAUAAUCUAUUUUAGAGUUUAUUUGCUGAUUUGCUUUUUACACACUUUCAUGUGAAAGAGUGAUAGGGAGAGGGAGACGAGGUUGGUGCCGCUUAUUUUGAAGCUGGUGCCCUCCCUCGCCGUGGCCGCUGCUGGGAGCCUGCGGCCUCCCCAGACUGAGCCUGCAUCGCGGGCGGGGCAGUUCUGCUUCCUCACUGCGCUGGUCAUGAGGCCAUUCCACAUUGUUUUUAAACUAAUGUUUUCUAGAUUAACAUUGUUACAGAUAUUUGGCUUUCACCGGCCACACACAGGUGUGCUGGGUGGGAAGCCCCAAGCUCCAAUCAAAGGGAUUUUUAGUAGUGCCUCUGUAAGCACUGAUGAGUCAGUCCCACAUCUUUUCUGUUUCUGUCAGUAUUAUUUGGAACGGAGACAUGCCGGGAUGCACCAUCAUGCAGAAGAUCAUGCUUCCUCUUGGCACACAGCUGCACAGAAGUAAACAUAAGCAUGUCUUAACAGGGUUUCUUUUUCUUUUUUCUCCUAUUAUUUAUUUAACCCUCCAUUGUGUGUUUUAAGUCUUUCUUUUUCUUUUCUUUUUUCUUUUUUUAAAGAAGGAAAAAGCUUGUCACAGUCUAACUGGCUAUGUUAUUAUUGUUAAAUUUAUGUUGUUUUGCAACCUAGAAACCAGCUACAGUAUGGCCCACUUAAUAAAACACCUGAAACAAAA